AUUGAACGCUGGCGGCAUGCCUUACACAUGCAAGUCGAACGGUAACGGGCCUUCGGGUGCCGACGAGUGGCGAACGGGUGAGUAAUACAUCGGAAAGUGCCCGAUCGUGGGGGAUAACGAGGCGAAAGCUUUGCUAAUACCGCAUACGAUCUACGGAUGAAAGCAGGGGACCGCAAGGCCUUGCGCGGACGGAGCGGCCGAUGGCAGAUUAGGUAGUUGGUGGGAUAAAAGCUUACCAAGCCGACGAUCUGUAGCUGGUCUGAGAGGAUGAUCAGCCACGCUGGGACUGAGACACGGCCCAGACUCCUACGGGAGGCAGCAGUGGGGAAUUUUGGACAAUGGGCGCAAGCCUGAUCCAGCCAUGCCGCGUGCAGGAUGAAGGCCUUCGGGUUGUAAACUGCUUUUGUACGGAACGAAAAGCCUUCUUUUAAUACAGGAGGGUCAUGACGGUACCGUAAGAAUAAGCACCGGCUAACUACGUG
rnacentral:rRNA from 1 species